rfam:Pseudomonadales bacterium RIFCSPHIGHO2_02_FTLL_60_43 rifcsphigho2_02_scaffold_25472, whole genome shotgun sequence.
GCGUGAGGACGACCUCACCACUCUGCGAGUGAUCACCACGGGACGGCCCCU